rnacentral:rRNA from 1 species
AUUGAACGCUGGCGGCAUGCCUUACACAUGCAAGUCGAACGGUAACGCGGGGCAACCCGGCGACGAGUGGCGAACGGGUGAGUAAUGCAUCGGAACGUGCCCAGUAGUGGGGGAUAGCCCGGCGAAAGCCGGAUUAAUACCGCAUACGACCUACGGGUGAAAGCGGGGGACCGUAAGGCCUCGCGCUAUUGGAGCGGCCGAUGUCAGAUUAGGUAGUUGGUGGGGUAAAGGCCUACCAAGCCUUCGAUCUGUAGCUGGUCUGAGAGGACGACCAGCCACACUGGGACUGAGACACGGCCCAGACUCCUACGGGAGGCAGCAGUGGGGAAUAUUGGACAAUGGGCGCAAGCCUGAUCCAGCCAUGCCGCGUGAGUGAUGACGGCCUUAGGGUUGUAAAGCUCUUUCAACGGUGAAGAUAAUGACGGUAACCGUAGAAGAAGCCCCGGCUAACUUCGUGCCAGCAGCCGCGGUAAUGUCGUACG